AUCUGUCGGCCAGGGUUGACAAAAGCAUUCCUGGUCAACGUCUCAGGAGCCCCUCGACGAUCUCCAAGGGCGAAUCAAUUUGCCCCCAAAAUUUUGGAGAUGAUAAAAAAGAGAUCGCAGGAUCUGACGAUUGUCUUCAAGCCAUGGUGAGGAAAUCGUCUUCCUGGUCAACGCCUCAUGAGCCCCACGAUGAUCUCCACGCCUUGUUUAUCUUCUUCCCCAGAUACCGGGCCGCGUUGACCCCGCCAGCCGCGAGCAGCCCGGACACCGCCUGCCUCGCGCUUGAAACCAUCACCCGCCGCCUCAAUGCCCUCCUUGUCCAGCCCGCCGCCUCCGCUCUCGCCGCAACGGCUACUUCUCCACCUGCAAGCUCUCAAAGUCUUC
rnacentral:lncRNA from 1 species